AUGAACAAGGUCCUGAAAGCAUCGUUUCUAGUCCUAGGCCUUUACCUAGCCUGGGUCAGUGGCCAGCAGGAGAAACAUGACCAGCAAGAGGUGAAACAAAGUCCCCAGUCUCUGACUGUCUGGGAAAAAGAGACUGCCAUUCUGAACUGCACUUAUGAUAACAAUGCAUUUGACUACUUCACAUGGUACCGGCAGCUCCCUGGGGAAGGCCCUGCACUUCUGACCUUCAUACGAUCUGUGUCUAAUAAAAAGGAAGAUGGAAGAUUCACUGUCUUCUUCAGUAAAAAGGAGAAAAAGUUCUCCUUGCACAUCGCAGACACUCAGCCUGGAGACUCAGCCACCUACUUCUGUGCAGCAAGUGCACUGUGCUCUCCAGGCACCUGUAGCCCACACACAAACCUGCAGCUGAGGCUCCAGCUGUGGUGUUGA